rnacentral:rRNA from 1 species
AUGAGGCAACCACCAGAAUAUGAAAACAAACAAACACCUCAUUACGUUUGCAAGCUUGAUAAAGCUCUUUAUGGUCUGAAACAGUCACCUAGAGCUUGGUUCUCAAGGCUAAGUUCACAGUUGAAGCAUCUUGGGUUUAUUCCAUCCAAGGCAGAUACAUCUCUCUUCAUUUAUAAUAAGGCAAACACAAUGAUUUUUGUGCUCAUAUAUGUGGAUGAUAUUAUAGUUGCAAGCUCUUCACAAGAUGCCACUAAUGCUCUUUUGCGUGAUUUGAGUUCAGAGUUUGCUUUGAAGGAUCUUGGUGAUUUACAUUUCUUCUUAGGCAUUGAAGUUAAGAAGACUCAAGAUGGCAUAGUAUUGAAUCAACAAAAAUAUGCCACUGAACUUCUAACUCGUAUGGGAAUGAAGGAUUGCAAACCUUCACCUACACCACUAUCUUCUUCAGAACAACUUUCAACAUAUCAAGGAGAACCUCUUAAUGAAGAGGAGAGCACAAAAUAUAGAAGUGUUGUUGGAGCCUUACAAUACUUAACUUUGACACGACUAGACAUAUCAUUUGAUGUAAACAAGGUUUGUCAAUAUUUACAUGCUCCUACCUCCACUCAUUGGACGUCUGUCAAAAGGAUUGUAUGA